rnacentral:rRNA from 1 species
CAAUAGCGUAUAUUAAAGUUGUUGCAGUUAAAAAGCUCGUAGUUGGAUUUGUGGUGUGCUUCGGCGGCCCGUCACUAUGUGAUGGAGCUUGCUGAAGUCGCCAUCCUUGGGUGGAUCCUGUGUGGCAUUAAGUUGUCGUGUAGGGGAUGCCCAUCGUUUACUGUGAAAAAAUUAGAGUGUUCAAAGCAGGCUUAUGCCGUUGAAUAUAUUAGCAUGGAAUAAUAAGAUAGGACCUUGGUACUAUUUUGUUGGUUUGCGCACCAAGGUAAUGAUUAAUAGGGACAGUUGGGGGUAUUCGUAUUUCAUUGUCAGAGGUGAAAUUCUUGGAUUUUUGAAAGACGAACUACUGCGAAAGCAUUUACCAAGGAUGUUUNCAUUA